rnacentral:lncRNA from 1 species
GUUCUCCCUAAGGUAUCAUUCUGAGCAGUAACCAAAGGACCACCCAUGUUUAGCCGAUAAACAGUCUCAAGGGCUAGUUCAGAAAGACCAUUGAAAGGGGCUGCUGGAGAAACAGCCACUGCUUGUUCAGGAAUCAACUCAUCGGGUACUGAUACAACUUCAAUUGCAUUAAUAAAUGCAACUGAGUUGUUUGAAGGGAUUAAAGCAAUAGUCUAAAGACCAUUGAAAGGGGCUGUUGGAGAAACAGCCACUGCUUGUUCAGGAAUCAACUCGUCAGGUACUGAUACAACUUCAAUCGCAUUAAUAAACGCAACUGAGUUGUUUGAAGGGAUUAAAGCAAUAGUCAAGCUAUCUGAAGUGACAUUGAUUGCAUAUUCCUUAA